CAGACCAAGUAGGAAUAAGACCUGCUGAGAAGCAACAUUAAGAAGGAGUCGAUGCUGUGUUUUUGAGCCGUAAGAGCAACAACGCUCCUGUGCUCAGCAAGGCUGCAAGCUCUGCCAGUCUUUGACCUUGUGAGAGCUCCGGCUCCAGCAUGGCCCAGAGCAAGAGGGGAUCAA